UAGGGAAUCUUGCGCAAUGGGCGAAAGCCUGACGCAGCGAUGCCGCGUGAGUGAGGAAGGCCUUCGGGUUGUAAAGCUCUGUCCUAGGGGAGAAAUGGUUGUGGACCUAAUACGUCUGCGAAGUGAUAGUACCCUGGAAGAAAGCACCGGCUAACUUCGUGCCAGCAGCCGCGGUAAUACGAAGGGUGCAAGCGUUGUUCGGAUUUAUUGGGCGUAAAGGGCGAGUAGGCGGACAGGGAAGUCAGGUGUGAAAUCUCGGGGCUCAACCCCGAAACAGCGUCUGAAACUUCCUGUCUAGAAUGUCGGAGAGGGAAGGGGAAUUUCGCAUGUAGGAGUAAAAUCCGUAGAGAUGCGAAGGAACACCAGAGGCGAAGGCGCCUUCCUGGAAGAUUAUUGACGCUGAGGCGCGAAAGCGUGGGGAGCAAACAGG
rnacentral:rRNA from 1 species